CAUUGAUCUUGCUCUUGAAUGACAUCAUGCUGGAACAUUUGAUCGGAUUCCAUUCGACCGAUAUCCGCGUUUUUGGGAAACGUUGAAAGAGAGGCGGCGCUGCCGUGAGUAGAUUAUUCAUCAGCGAAAGAAAUUGCAACUCAGGAAAAUUGCAUCCAGUAAAAUUUACCGACACGAUUUGAUUGCUUUCGAACAGUAUCAUAUCAACCAAUGGUAGCGUAACAGGAGACGAGGUGCGAAUAGACUCGAUCUUAUUUUCGUUAAUGAAGAUUCCGGUCAAGUUUGGUAACUGUCCAAAUACACUCAUAUCGACUUGUUUCAGAUUGUUUCGAUCGAAUCCAAGGUUGCACAAGUUGGGAUGCCAUCCCCAAUGUUUUGGGAUUUCUGUGAGCGCAUUGUCGUCCAUAUAGAUCGAGUUCAAUGCAGGCAGGGUGAGAUUCCGUGUAUCGAACGAAGUAAUUCUGUUCAAUUUGAUAUCGAGUCGAUUUAAAGAAUUGUAGGUUACCGGUGCGGUUGCCUCAAAGCGAACGAUACGAUUUUUUUGCACGUUUAGCCGCUGCAGGUCUGGAAUAUGGGCAAAGACGAACAUAUCCAGACGUUCCAGUUGAUUACUGGCUAGAUCAAUGGUUUCUAGGGCCAAUCGCUGUUUCGGUGGCGUUGUAAUCGGAAAUAGUUGCCGUAUUUGGUUAUUGGCCAGGUUUAUGAUAUAGAGUUUUGGAUUGUUCACAAGCACAUCUAGCCGUAGUGCUGUCAUUGCGCACUGCUUGAUAAUCAGCACCUCUAGCACGAUCAUCUGGG